rnacentral:lncRNA from 1 species
CAGCAAGAUGGCUUUGAAACGCUUUCACAACGAAGGUGUGCUCCACUGGGCACCACAACAUACGGUUCAGACGUUUAAAGCCUGUCUCAGCCCAAUUUCCUCUCCAUUUGCUCCCUGGGUAAGGUAUCCCCCCUUCAGUGCAGGCAGAACUGGCGACUUGCUUCUAAUCAACAAAAUAUGGCAAAGUGGUGGAGUCUAGAAGUCUGAGAUCAGGGCACCAGCCUGGCCGAGUUCUGAUGGCGUCUCGCUUUGUCACCCAGGCUGGAGUGCAGUGGCGCGAUCUCGGUUCACUGCAACAUCUACCUCCCAGGUUCAAGUGAUUCUCCUGCCUUAGCCUCCCGAGUAGCUGGGAUUACAGGCACCCACCACCACAUCCGGCGAAUUUUUUGUAUUUUUAGUAGAGACAGGGUUUCACCAUGUUGGCCAGGAUGGUCUUGAUUUCCUGACCUG